UACGUAGGGUGCAGGCGUUAAUCGGAAUUACUGGGCGUAAAGCGUGCGCAGGCGGUCUUUUAAGUCAGAUGUGAAAUCCCCGGGCUUAACCUGGGAACUGCGUUUGAAACUGAAAGGCUAGAGUGUGGCAGAGGGGGGUGGAAUUCCACGUGUAGCAGUGAAAUGCGUAGAGAUGUGGAGGAACACCGAUGGCGAAGGCAGCCCCCUGGGCUAACACUGACGCUCAUGCACGAAAGCGUGGGGAGCAAACGGG
rnacentral:rRNA from 1 species